GACGAACGCUGGCGGCGUGCUUAACACAUGCAAGUCGAACGGAAAGGUCCUGCUUUUGUGGGGUGCUCGAGUGGCGAACGGGUGAGUAACACGUGUGUAACCUGCCCUUGACUUUCUGAUAACUUCAGGAAACUGGGGCUCAUACCGGAUAUGAGCUCCUGCUGCAUGGUGGGGGUUGGAAAGUUGCGGCGGUUGGGGAUGGACUCGCGGCUUAUCCGCUUGUUGGUGGGGUAGUGGCUUACCAAGGCUUUGACGGGUAGCCGGCCUGAGAGGGUGACCGGCGACCUUGGGACUGAGGUACGGCGCAGAAGCCUACGGGCGGCAGCAGUGGGGAAUAUGGCAGAAUGGGGGGAAGCCUGAUGCAGCAACGCCGGGUGCGGGAUAACGGCCUUCGGGUUGUAAACCGCUUUGGCAUGUGACGAGGAGUGAGUGACGGUAAUGGGUAAAGAAGCACCGGCUAACUACGUG
rnacentral:rRNA from 1 species